AUGGGGAAACACAUUAUUAGAGAAGGUAUGUAUAAAGGAAUCCUCUCAUCGUUGGCUCGAAUGGAAGGGGAACAUCGGAGUUUCUGCGGACAUCUGAUGGAGUUGAGAUGGGAGCAUCGUCGCCGGCGUUCCUCCCAACCACUGCUCGAUACCUUAGGAAGUGAAGCGGACCACAUUAGUGCUCUCCCUACCGACCUACUCCUCCUCAUCCUUGCCCGACUCAGAUGCAUUGCCGCCGCCGCGCGCACCAGCGCCCUCUCCCGCCGGUGGCGUGGCCUCUGGGCCCACCUCCAACAGAUCGUCUUCCUCAACAUCACCUUCCCCAAGAUCGAAGCGGCGAUGGGCCACAUUCCUCGGCCCCCGAGCAUGAUUUCCCUCCUCGAGAUCCAUGUUGCCAAGGAGGGCUGGCACAUCCCCAAGAAACAAAGGCGCCUCCAUGGGCUUCGCAAGCCCGAUGUAACCUCGCUGCUCCAUGCUGCAGCGCGACUUGAGCCGAAGGAGGUCAUCUUUGGCCUCCCCUUGGAAAUAAUCAAUCCCUAUAUCGUGGAUCUGCCUUGCUUCCACCGUGCCACCUCGAUCACGAUGGAACUUCCCGUCGUCAUCUGUCGUGUGCCAAACGGUGUCGAGUUCACCGCACUCAAGACGUUGACUCUAUCAUCCUGCUACAUCAACAUCGUUGCCAUGCUCUCAUGUUGCCCACGCUUGCGCACGCUCCACCUCAAGCGUGUUGGCAUACAUGAGCACGACCUGACAAUCCACUCUCCGUCACUUCAGGAGAUUGUAGUGGAUGGGAAUUCAUGGAUAGACCAUGUAGACAUCGUUGCCCCCAUGCUUAAGAAAUUUACCAUGUCCUUUGCCACAAUGGAGGAGUCCAAAAUUUUCUUCUAAUUUGUCAUCUAAUUUCCAUGAUGAGUUGGCCAACUUUACACAAGAGAUAGAGAAGCAUAUGGUUGUUGCCUUCUCUGUUGUAGAGCUACAUCUCACAACAAAGAGGCAUGUUUUUGGAGCGCUUGUGUUUCAUCUUCUUGGGAUUAAUCUAAUGGGCACUGCUAUGCAAAAGCUUAAGGUUUUUUUAUGGAGAACAACGGUGCAAGAAGGAUGCAAACCAGAGUGUCCAUGUGCGCCCACAAAUUGGAGAACCCAAAACAUCUCACUGACUACUCUCGAAGAAGUGGAGAUCAAUGGCUUUGAAGGAGUAGAUCAUGAGUUUGAUUUCUUAAAACUCAUACUCAAAUGUUCGCCAAAGCUUAAAGGAAUGACUUUGAAUCUGUCACAUGAAGUCUGGUCAAGGAAAGGUGGAUGCGAAAUAGCACAAAACAUCUUCCGUGCAUAUCCUUCUGUGAAGUGCCAUGUUUAUCUAAUGUCUGGGUGCUUCAAAUGUGGAAUUGACAUUCCAAUUACGAAGUCUAGUUGUGUACAUCUAUUGAUGUUUUGGGGAAUAUGGUCUCUUUGUAAAGUCACGGUGGCUGUCCCCGACAAACUCAAGCCUUCUCGUCCAAGUUUUUCUAUAACGCAGCUUGUAUCUUCGAUGCAGAGCCUGAAUUGCUGCCGGCCGACAGGGGGCAUUAGCCAGCUUCUGAGGAAACUAUUCAGAGCCAGUCAGUCUUCUUUUGGCGAACUUCCUUCCUCGGCAACCGGCCUCAAUCCCAUCCUUCCUCGUUUCCAGAUAGACGUCACUCAGGAGAUCUACGCAGGCGGUGAUCCUUGUUUGUCAGCGGUGCACCGUACCUGGCGCUCGUUCAUAGACAUGGUUUAUCACUCUAGUUUCAUUGACGAUGAUGAGAUCACAAAAGCCUGUGGGUGUCCUUUGCUUCCACUAAAAACUCAUAUAAAGGGCCCAGCCCCAGCCGCGGAUUCAGAUAAGGCGGAUAUAGUUGAUGAAGCGAUAACUUUCUUCCGAGCAAAUGUUUUCUUCAAAAACUUCCAUGUCAAAAGCCCAGCAGACAAAUUGCUCAUCUAUCUGACAUCUUACAUCAAUAUUGCCUUGAAAAGACUAGAAACCUGCCGGACGCUGGCUGUCGGAACUAAGGCAAUCAUUAACCUGGGGUUGGAAAAAGUUCCUGUGCCUGGGGAACCAGGGUUUCCUUUUCCUGGACUUUUCACUCUCCCCCAAUCUGGGGAGGAAGCAGAACUGCUGAGGAACUAUCUGAAGCAGAUAAGGGAGGAAACGAGCGGGAGGCUGCUCAACUGCGCAUACAGAGCUAAUGGCACUCCAAACAAAUGGUGGCUGGCUUUUGCAAAGAGGAAGUUCAUGAACGUUGUCAUCCUUUAGAGCGUAAGCAUAUCAUCAGUGACAGCUUAAGAGGCGUUUGUGUAAAUCCUGAUUGCGCUUGCACAUUUAUUCCUACGAUGAUGUAAAGCACAGUUUCUUGCAAUGCACCUGCUGAACACAGUUUCUUGCAAUGCACCUUCACUGAAUGAAACUCUCAUUGAUAUUUAA